rnacentral:rRNA from 1 species
UACAGAGACUGCAAGCGUUAUUCGGAUUCACUGGGCGUAAAGGGUGCGCAGGCGGCCAAGUGUGUGAGGCGUGAAAGCCCGGGGCUUAACCCCGGAAUUGCACCUCAAACUACAUGGCUAGAGCAUUGGAGAGGGUAGCAGAAUUCAUGGUGUAGCAGUGAAAUACGUAGAUAUCGAGAGGAACACCUGCGGCGAAGGCGGGUUGCUGGGCCGACACUGACGCUGAUGCGCGAAAGCCAGGGGAGCGAACGGG